rnacentral:rRNA from 1 species
GACAGAGGUGCCAAGCGUUAGGCGGAAUCACUGGGCUUAAAGCGUGUGUAGGCGGUUAUCUAAGUACCUUGUGAAAUCCCACGGCUCAACCGUGGAACUGCUUGGUAUACUGGGUGUCUUGAGCCAUCUAGGGGCUACCGGAACAAAUGGUGGAGCGGUGAAAUGCGUAGAUAUCAUUUGGAACGCCAAUGGUGAAAACAGGUAGCUGGGGAUGUGCUGACGCUGAGACACGAAAGCCAGGGGAGCAAACGGG